GCCCGGAUGGCGAAACUGGCAGACGCAGCGGACUUAAAAUCCGCAGGCCUUAACCGGCCGUGGGGGUUCAAGUCCCCCUCCGGGCACCA
rnacentral:tRNA from 1 species